rnacentral:ncRNA from 2 species
AAAGGAAAAAGGCAAAACCAUCGAAAGGUGGUGACGCAAAGCUAAAGGGGCUACCGCAACUCCGUUGCCAGGCCAGCCAGCUGCCCGA